AACAACAGGAUUCCCCUAGUAACGGCGAGUGAAGCGGGAAGAGCUCAAAUUUGUAAUCUGGCACUUUCAGUGUCCGAGUUGUAAUCUCGAGAAGUAUUUUCCGCGCCGGACCGCAUAAAAGUCUGUUGGAAUACAGCGUCAUAGUGGUGAGAACCCCGUACAUGAUGCGGAUGCCCGGUGCUUUGUGAUAUACUUUCGAAGAGUCGAGUUGUUUGGGAAUGCAGCUCAAAUUGGGUGGUAAAUUCCAUCUAAAGCUAAAUAUUGGCGAGAGACCGAUAGCGAACAAGUACCGUGAGGGAAAGAUGAAAAGCACUUUGGAAAGAGAGUUAACAGUACGUGAAAUUGUUGGAAGGGAAACGCUUGAAGUCAGACUUGCUAUUUGGAGUUCAGCCGCGAGGUGUAUUCUUCAAUUUGCAGGCCAGCAUCAGUUUUCGGGGGUGGAAAAUCGCGGUUUGAAGGUAGCAAUUUCGGUUGUGUUAUAGCUUUCCGCUGGAUUCAUCCUUGGGGACUGAGGAACGCAGUACGCUUUUUGCAAGGCUUUCGAGCUUUUCGUGCUUAGGAUGCUGGUGGAAUGGCUUUAAACGACCCGUCUUGAAACACGGACCAAGGAGUCUAACAUGCUUGCGAGUAUUUGGGUGUCAAACCCGGAUGCGCAAUGAAAGUGAAUGUAGGUGGGAUCCGCAAGGUGCACCAUCGACCGAUCUGGAUUUUUUAAGAUGGAUUUGAGUAAGAGCAAUUAUGUUGGGACCCGAAAGAUGGUGAACUAUGCCUGAAUAGGGCGAAGCCAGAGGAAACUCUGGUGGAGGCUCGUAGCGGUUCUGACGUGCAAAUCGAUCGUCAAAUUUGGGUAUAGGGGCGAAAGACUAAUCGAACCAUCUAGUAGCUGGUUCCUGCC
rnacentral:rRNA from 1 species